UUCAUACACCCCUUAAACUUUGAAGUAGUGGCCAAGACACCCCCUAAACUUUUUUAUUAGCCAAUUUACUCCAUAAACUUUGCACACCUGCCAAAUUAAUACCCCAGUUAGUCUACUGUUAAAAAACUUACGGAAUAGUCACAGGAGACACACGUGACUUUUAAAAAACAAACUCAGUCCUGUUAAUUUGAAACCAGAUGGAUUGAAGAAAACAAAAGAGAGUUAGGUCUGGCCGGAGAGAAGAGAGAAAGAGGCAGCCACCGCAGAACGUCACCCACCAUCUCUUCGCCCGUGUCCCGACGGCGCUUGGUGGUUCUGCAGCUCUGUUUGACAGCCACCACUUGGAUUGUAAUGUAUGUAACUACUUUGAAUGGCACGAUAUUGAAUUCACCCCAAGGAGCAAAAGUGUUAUUAAUGGACUAUUGGACACCAACCGAAGACUUAAGAAUGAAGCAGCAAUGAAUAAGAGGAUUUUUAAGUGGCUUAGUGUUUUUUGGUGGUUUCUUGGAUCAUCAGGGGAUUGCGGUAGCCUUUUAUUUAGUAUUGAGUUUUAAUGUUAGACGUCAUCUUUACAUGAAGUGACUAUUGAUGUAGGA